rnacentral:lncRNA from 1 species
GGGUCUACAUGAGAGAUAAAUUAGCAAUUAAAUGAUUAAAGAGAUCUAAACUAAAAAUCUUCUCAAUAAUAUUAAGUCGAGGGGUCUUCCACCAUUGUAGAGCACCGUGCCCUCUCUGAUGUUGAUUAUUUUCAGCUGGAUAUAGUGGAUCAGUUGCAUCAGGAGAGAAGCAAUCACUCUAAAUACAGAGUGGAGAUGGAGUUGGGCUCAAGAUCUAUCAGGUGAGGGUUCAAUAGUUGCUUCACUUAUGCUCAAUGAUGAAUCUGACUUAACUAAGGAA